UAAUGGAGUGGGAUCGGAUGGGUCAUCC
rnacentral:sRNA from 1 species